AGAACCAGAGGCAGAGGCAGAACCCAGUAGUUGAACAUUUGUUAAUGGUUGAAGUUUUGUAUAUCUGUUUUUUAUUGGAUUUCUGGUUAUGUUUUAUCUCUUGCUUUUGUAUUAAGGUUUUUGAUUCAGGACUAUGAAUUGGAACUUUGUUUGCUGUGGAUUGCAUUUUUAGUCAAAUCCUUUUGCUUUUUUAUUCAUUUGAACGUUUUGUUUGUAUUUUUCUAUUUAAUGAAUAACUCCAUGACUUCUGUGCACAAGCUGUAAACCUCCUACUUUGUUGAUAUGUUUUUGGAACAUAUAAGUUUCUUUUGUAGGCUUAAAUCCUUUUUGGGCCUGCAAAGCCUGAGGCAGGCCAGUAGAGCUGUAUUAAGCCUGUGUGGGUAAGGCCUCUUCCAGGUAAAGGAAACCUGGUCAGACCAUGCCAGUGAAGCCUUUUGGAGGUCUAACGCCCCUUAUUCAUCAAGCUUGUGUCUCCAGUUCACAACAAUAUCCAUAUAUUCACAAUUAUAUCAUGCUUUAGUUACAGAUCUCAAGUUGUGGAUUAAUAUCCAACAACACUUCUGGCUUGCAAAAUGGACAUGUAUGGUGGUUCCCCAAAGAGGUGAGGCCACCUGCCCAUUACUGCAUGGUGUUGCCCUCAGCCCUAUAAAGGCGGACAGCAUUUCCACAGUACCUUGUGGUUCAUUCGAAUGCCCUGGGGAGUUUUGACUCUGAAACACUGAUAUUAUUGGCACUGUGAUUUGUGUUGCUGCCUGUCAGAGUUUCAAUCCAAAGGAUUUUUUGAAGCCCAGGAUGAUGUCCAAAAGAUAUGGAAGAAGAUGAUCUGCUGUGGCAACCCGUAACGGGAGCAGCCAAAAGAAGUAGAAGAAGACUAAUAUUAUUUGCUCAGCUCUUCUUGCUCAGUGGAGUCCUAUGCUUUGUUCUCAUCAAUGCUGUGCUGGAGAAUAACCACAAUCUAGGGGUGUUGCAUGAUAUGCAAGAAGACUCUUGUGGAAAUCACAUCCACUAUCUUUGGCCUAUUGCAUCAGCCGCUUCACUAUUUGCACUGACUUCUCAACCAGUCCAUUUGACUGAGGGAAAUGUGGGCUUGAAGUAUUAUGAACAAUAUCCCAAUGUUUGCAGAAUAUUUUAAACUUCUCAUUAGCAAACUGUGAUCCAUUAUCACUAAAUGCCUCAUUUGGCAUGCCAUGUCUUGAGAAUAUGGACUUCAUGUAUGUUAUCACAGUAUCUGCAGUGGUACUGCUCAGUUUGCAUACUUCAGGGUAAACAGAAUAAUAGUCUGACACAAUUAGAUAAACUGCUCCAUUACAUGUAAAAAGAUCAACGCCUACCUUCUGAUAUGAUCUUGCUGGUGUACCAUGUGGUUUCAGUUGUUCUGCUGGGUUACUUACUUGAUACUUCUGACACGUGUCACAAGUGGAUACUGUCACAUCAUAAUUAAUUCUGGGCCAAUGCAUCACUUUGCGUGCUCUCUUUUGACAUUUCUCAAUACCCAGAUGUCCUUCAUGAAUCUUUUUCAACAUUUCUUUUCUCAAGCUCUUUGGUAUAACUAUUUUACUUCCUUUAAAUAUUAUAUCAUCAACUACUGUUAAUUCAGCUCUAUAGCUCCAAUACUCUGUUAUGUCUGAUGAACAGUUCCGUUUAUCAUAUGGCCAUCCAUUCAGUAUGAUCUGUUUCAAUUUGUUUAAGGUUACAUCUUUAUUUGUCUCAGUUCGUAUGACGUCCAUCUUUGCAUCUGAAACUGGUACUGAUUCUGUGAUCAUAUCAAUAUAUGCUUUAACAUCUACUUCUGUUUUAGAGCUCAAAGAUACCUUUGGGUCAACUGCUUGGGAAAGAGUGUCGGCUGUGUACAUCAUUUUCCCUGGUAUAUAUGUCACCUUCAGAGUAUAGCGUUGCAGCUUAAUUAUCAUUCUUUGAAUUCUCAGAGGACAGUCUUGGAGCAGCUUUUGGAAUAAUGAAAGUAAUGGUUUAUGAUCUGUCUCUACAACAAUUUCCUGUCCUGACACAAACUGAUGAAAUCUGUCACAAGCAUAGGAUAUGCUGAGCAACUCUUUUUCAAUUUGUGCAUAAUGUGUUUCAGGGUCUGUCAUGGAUCUAGGUACAUAUGCCACUGGUUGCCAAUUAUGAUCAUAUUUUUGCAAAAGAACUGCCCCAAGUCCACUCUGUGAUGCAUCUGAUGAGAUCUUAAUUUGCCUUAAGGGAUCAUAAAACUUAAGUACUGGUUCUUCUGUUAGUUGCUCUUCUAGUCUCUUGUUCAUGAUUCCAUUCCCAUUCUGUGUUUCUAUUAAUCUUCAGAAUAGAGCUAUCUUAUCUGAAAGGUUAGGUAUGAACUUGCCCACAUAAUUUACCAUUCCAUUAAACCUCUAAACAUCUUUUUUA